rnacentral:rRNA from 1 species
GACGAACGCUGACGGCGUGCUUAACACAUGCAAGUCGAAGGGAGUGGCGAACGGGAGAGUAACACGUGAGUAACCUGCCCUUUUAUUUGGGAUAAGCCUGGGAAACUGGGUCUAAUACUGGAUGGGUUGGGAUGGGCUCGCGGCUUAGCAGCUUUUUGGUGGGGUGAUGGCGUACCAAGGCUUUGACGGGUAGCCGGCCUGAGAGGGUGGUCGGUCACACUGGGACUGAGAUGCGGCCCAGACUCCUACGGGAGGCAGCAGUGGGGGAUAUUGCACAAUGGACGAAAUGCUGAUGCAGCGACGGCGUGUGGGGGGUGAAGGCCUUCGGGUUGUAAAGUACUUUCAGCGGGGAGGCGUUGCCCGCAGAAGAAGCGCCGGCUAACUCCGUGCCAGCAGCCGCGGUAAUUC